AUGACUAUCAGGUUCCUCCGCCAAGUGGCCUUUUAUUUUCUGGAGGCAGGCCUUAAGGAAGCUGAAAUCUACCAGACCCCAAGACACCGUGUUAUAGGGGCAGGAAAGAAGAUCACUCUGGAAUGUUCUCAAACCAUGGGCCAUGACAAAAUGUACUGGUCAAGAUCCAGGAAUGGAAUUACACCUCAUCCACCAUUCCUAUGGGUUAAUUCCACAGAGAAGGGAGAUCUUUGCUCUGAGUCAACAGUCUCCAGAAUAAGGAUAGAGCGUUUUCCCCUGACCCUGGAGUCUGCCAGCCCCUCACAUACCUCUCAGUACCUCUGUGCCAGCAGUGAAUA